UCUGGUUUUCAAUGUGUAAA
rnacentral:miRNA from 1 species